UCAGCAGAAAGUGAUCGCGGCUUCGGCUGAGGAAAGUCCGGGCACCAUCGGGCAGGAUGCUGGUUAACGGCCAGUGAGGGCAACCUUAAGGAAUAGUGCCACAGAAAGCAAACCGCCUUCGGGUAAGGGUGAAAGGGUGCGGUAAGAGCGCACCGGCGAUUGGGUGAUCAAUCGGCCAGGUAAACCCCAUUCGGUGCAAGACCUAGUAGAAAACAAUAGAGCGGCCCGUUCUGUUUUCGGGUAGGUCGCUUAAGGCGUCGGGCAACCGAUGUCUCAGACAGAUGAUCACUGAUACAGAACCCGGCUUAUUAUCUGCUGAAAAA
rnacentral:RNase_P_RNA from 1 species